rnacentral:rRNA from 1 species
GAUGAACGCUGGCGGCGUGCCUAAUACAUGCAAGUCGAGCGAACAGAUGAGGAGCUUGCUCCCCUGACGUUAGCGGCGGACGGGUGAGUAACACGUGGAUAACCUACCUAUAAGACUGGGAUAACUUCGGGAAACCGGAGCUAAUACCGGACAAUAUAUUGAACCGCAUGGUUCAAUAGUGAAAGACGGUUUUGCUGUCACUUAUAGAUGGAUCCGCGCCGCAUUAGCUAGUUGGUAAGGUAACGGCUUACCAAGGCAACGAUGCGUAGCCGACCUGAGAGGGUGAUCGGCCACACUGGAACUGAGACACGGUCCAGACUCCUACGGGAGGCAGCAGUAGGGAAUCUUCCGCAAUGGGCGAAAGCCUGACGGAGCAACGCCGCGUGAGUGAUGAAGGUCUUCGGAUCGUAAAACUCUGUUAUUAGGGAAGAACAAAUGUGUAAGUAACUAUGCACGUCUUGACGGUACCUAAUCAGAAAGCCACGGCUAACUACGUG